rnacentral:rRNA from 1 species
GCAUGGCUGUCGUCAGCUCGUGUUGUGAAAUGUUGGGUUAAGUCCCGCAACGAGCGCAACCCUUAUCCUUUGUUGCCAGCACGUAAUGGUGGGAACUCAAAGGAGACUGCCGGUGAUAAACCGGAGGAAGGUGGGGAUGACGUCAAGUCAUCAUGGCCCUUACGAGUAGGGCUACACACGUGCUACAAUGGCAGAUACAAAGAGAAGCGACCUCGCGAGAGCAAGCGGAACUCAUAAAGUCUGUCGUAGUCCGGAUUGGAGUCUGCAACUCGACUCCAUGAAGUCGGAAUCGCUAGUAAUCGUAGAUCAGAAUGCUACGGUGAAUACGUUCCCGGGCCUUGUACACACCGCCCGUCACACCAUGGGAGUGGGUUGCAAAAGAAGUAGGUAGCUUAACCUUCGGGAGGGCGCUUACCACUUUGUGAUUCAUGACUGGGGUGAAGUCGUAACAAGGUAACCGUAGGGGAACCUGCGGUUGGAUCACCUCCUUA